GGCCCCGUAGCUCAGUGGAUUAGAGCAGCUGCCUUCUAAGCAGUUGGUCGCAGGUUCGACUCCUGCCAGAGUGC
rnacentral:tRNA from 1 species